UAGCUGUAGCCUUGGGCUCAUGCUGCGUUGGUGGUACACUAGAGUACACCAGACUUGCAGGAAAAAAAAAAAAAAAAGAAGAAGAAGCCGAGGCAUGACUGCUCGCCAAUCAGUGGUUCCAUGUGCAAUUUUCCUCUGAUAGGGCCUGGGUACCGUUACCAUGGUGAUAGCACCUGGGCCAUGUCAUUAUCGAUCCACCAACAAUAAGAGAAGCUUUGCAGUCAGGAUAUUGUUUGGCAGCCAGCAUGGUUUCUGUUGGACGCUAAGUACUGGUACAAAA